GUAUUACUUUGGCAAUACAUAUACUACAACUGGUAUGCAAGAAAAGAUCAGCAUGGCCCCUGUGCAAGGAUGACAAGCAAAUUUGUGAAGCAUUCUAUAUUUAU